AAUUUUGUAAAUUUUUGUAAAUUUUAACAAAAUAUUUUCCUCUUUUACUAAUGGGCCAAGUUCAUUAUAAAUUGAGAUAAUUGUAAGAAGCAAGAAUGUUCAGUUAAGUAAGAUCUACAAACACAUCACCAUCACCAAAACACAAUUUUGUCAUGAAUCCACCUGUGUCUUUGUUUAAUAUGCACAUAUACCAAGGUGAGCGACACAG
rnacentral:lncRNA from 1 species